UUGUCCAGUGCCAGCUUCUCCAGGAAGGCAUAGCUGACGUCGAAGCCAAAGCCCAGGCAGAAGAGGCUGUACCGGCCACUUACAGCUUCCCGCACGUUCUUCUGGAUGCUCCUGGGUAUUUCAGACGGCUUAUAUUAAAAAGUUCAGACAUCAUAAACCUGACAACCAUCAAAAGAGGGAAGACUUCAAAAACAUGGAGUAAAAGGGAACUAUAAUAACAA